rnacentral:rRNA from 1 species
UUAAAUUGAAGAGUUUGAUCAUGGCUCAGAUUGAACGCUGGCGGCAGGCCUAACACAUGCAAGUCGAGCGGUAACAGGAAUUAGCUUGCUAAUUUGCUGACGAGCGGCGGACGGGUGAGUAAUGCCUGGGAAUAUGCCUUGAUGUGGGGGAUAACUAUUGGAAACGAUAGCUAAUACCGCAUAAUG